AGUCGAGCGGGACCUUCGGGUUCCAGCGGCAAACGGUUGAGUAACACGUAGACAACCUGCCCGUAAGUUGGGGAUAACUCGGGGAAACUCGGGCUAAUACCGGAUGUGGAAGGGGGCGGCAUCGCCCUUUCUCUAAAGGAGCAAUCCGCUUACGGAUGGGUCUGCGGCCUAUCAGUUAGCUGGUGGGGUAACGGCCUACCAGGGCGACGACGGGUAGCUAGUCUGAGAGGAUGACCAGCCAGACGGGGACUGAGACACGGCCCCGACUCCUUCGGGAGGCAGCAAUGAGGGAUAUUGCGCAAUGGGGGAAACCCUGACGCAGCGACGCCGCGUGGGUGAGGAAGUCCUUCGGGAUGUAAAGCCCUUUUCUGGGGGAAGAACAAGAUGACGGUACCCCAGGAAGAAGCCCCGGCUAACUACGUGCCAGCAGCCGCGGUAAUACGUAGGGGGCAAGCGUUGUCCGGAUUUACUGGGCGUAAAGCGCGCGUAGGCGGGAGAAGAAGUCCGGUGGGAAAGCCCACGGCUCAACCGUGGAAGGACGCUGGAAACUCUUCUUCUUGAGGGCGGCAGAGGGAAGUGGAAUUGCUGGUGUAGCGGUGAAAUGCGUAGAUAUCAGCAGGAACACCCGUGGCGAAGGCGGCUUCCUGGGCCGCCCCUGACGCUGAGGCGCGAAAGCGUGGGGAGCGAACGGGAUUAGAUACCCCGGUAGUCCACGCCGUAAACGAUGGUCACUAGGUGUAUGCGGUAUCGACCCCGCAUGAGCCGCAGCUAACGCAAUAAGUGACCCGUCUGGGGAGUACGGCCGCAAGGUUGAAACUCAAA
rnacentral:rRNA from 1 species